rnacentral:sRNA from 1 species
AUGGCCUUCUGUAGACCCUCUCAAAGUUUUUGAGCUCCUUUCAUGAAAUUUCCCCCUUCCUGAUGUCUGGUAAUUCAUUUUUUUGUCUUCAGGCUUACAAUGGCAACACUGCCCUCCAUGUUGCUGCCAGCCUGCAGUAUCGGUUGACACAAUUAGAUGCCGUCCGCCUGUUGAUGAGGAAGGGAGCAGACCCAAGUACUCGGAACUUGGAGAACGAACAGCCAGUGCAUUUGGUUCCCGAUGGCCCUGUGGGAGAACAGAUCCGACGUAUCCUGAAGGGAAAGUCCAUUCAGCAGAGAGCUCCACCGUAUUAGCUCCAUUAGCUUGGAGCCUGGCUAGCAACACUCACUGUCAGUUAGGCAGUCCUGAUGUAUCUGUACAUAGACCAUUUGCCUUAUAUUGGCAAAUGUAAGUUGUUUCUAUGAAACAAACAUAUUUAGUUCACUAUUAUAUAGUGGGUUAUAUUAAAAGAAAAGAAGACA